ensembl:lncRNA
UAUUCGUUUUAGCAGAUACCUGGCUACGUGUGGACAGGGCUUAAAUAGGAAGACAACUCAAUCAAUUACCAAGGUACAGCUAUGAACUCCUCCAGCAGGAAGGACAGGUGAGUGGGACGGAGCAGCAGGGAGAAGCCACACCAGACCUACACAAAAUCAGGAGGUGAAAACCAAGAGCAAAACAAGCAGGAUCUGUCACAAGUUGCAUGAACAUCCAGAGAAGCCUCAGAGGGUCUGUCCAGUGUUGGGAUAGUGGCAGCUGCAGUGAUCGGCUCCAUCCUGGCCCUAUUGUUGGUUGCAGCACCCAUUGGAGUUCUCCUGACCUGCAAACGACAACAGAGGUCUGGGCAUCCCAACAACGACGGCCAAUAAAACCCAUCACCAGGGAGCAAUGGUGAACAUGGAAACCCCGGCAUCUCACAUUUUGCCAACACCCAUCUAUUCAUUGUGAAGAAAAAAAAUCCAUCAGUUAUUUACUUAUUCGUCUCUGUAACUGUAUCUUUUCAAUCAGCAGAGGAACAAAACAAAGUGUGAAAAAAGUUGUUGUGGUGCUAACUGUUUAAGUGAACUCAGUUGAAAUAUAUGACCGUACCAAAAAAACAAGUUUGAUUCUGUGUAUGAAACUGCAGAGGAUCAACAGAAACCAUAGCAAGUGUUGAUGUAGCGCUGCUUACAGCUUUGUUUUUGUCUUUUCAGCUUUACUGUGUACUUUUGUGCUGAGUGACUUAAGUGCUUUGACUUACUAUACACUAUACACUUUAUCAGCAGUUUCAAAUAAGGUGAGCAUCACAAUCGUCGUUUCAAAUCAACUGUUUAAAUAUCUCGUCUGGAUUCAAAGCCAGCAAGAGAAAUCCUUAACAACCUGUGAAGUCUGAAAAAAAAAAAAAAACAAGGAAAAUCCUAUUAAGACAGGCCAAAUGUUUCUUAUUAGCCAAAAGAGAACUUUGGUUACCCAGCUGGAGCUACUGAGGCAAAGGGUUCCAAACUGAGCAACAUAGCAGACGCAACUGUCUGCUAAUGUAUGGCUGGCUGUUACUGAUGAUGUUCCUAAUCUGUAUUUUAGGUGCUAUACCACCAAACCACACCUGUUAUUGGUGAUAUUUUUGCUUUAUGAAGGAAUUAAUUAUUUUAAUUUAUAAAAGUGGGUACAAUUUCAUCAGAGUACCAAAGUGCUUUACAAUUACAAAGACAGAGAAAAAAUGAAUAGAAAGAACAUUUUCAGAAGGCUGAAAGAAAGACAUAAAAGUCUAAAACAGUUUAAUGUUUGUUAGGUAACAGAUGCAAACAGUUGUGCCACUGCCUUCUGAGCCAGCUGCAGGGGAUUAAGUGAAUGCGAGAGGUUCAUCACUGAUCACUGAUACUCAGGGAAUGCUUAAAGCCGAUUUCCACUGGUCUGUUUGCAGGCAUUUCCUUGUGUUGACAGAUUAAAAAAAAAAAGUUUAUUAAUCCAUUUGAAUGUUUACAUUGCCUCUGUCAUGUCUGCAGUCCACAUCCGUCCCUCCACAACACAAGCUAUACGCAGGAGCUCUAUAUCAAGUCCACAAAAUGUGACAAUUUUGUGACAUAAAGAAACAAGUUCAGGUUUUAAAAUGAAAACUUUUGUUGUACUUUCAAAAUAAAACUUUAUCAAAUUUAAUUCCAUAUUUACGUUGAUGUACUGAUGCAAUAAUGCAUGUUAACACUGUGUAAAGUUUAAUUGUGGAGGU